ensembl:lncRNA
GACCUCAUUGAGGCCUUCCAGUACUUGAAGGGAGCGUAUAAACAGGAGGGAGAGUGGCUGUUUACAAGGGUGGAUAGUGACAGAACAAGGGGGAAUGGUUUUAAAGUGAAGCAGGGGACGUUUAGGUUGGAUAUUAGGAGGAAGUUUUUCCACACAGAGGGUGGUGACGCACUGGAACAGGUUGCCCAAGGAGGUUGUGGAUGCCCCAUCCCUGGAGGCAUUCAAGGCCAGGCUGGAUGUGGCUCUGGGCAGCCUGGUCUAGUGGUUGCUGACUGCAUAUAGCAGGGGGCAUUGAAACUUGACGACUGUUGUGGUCCUUUUCAACCCAGGCCAUUCUGUGAUUCAUUCUAUGAAGUUGUUAAACCAAACUAUUGUGAAU